GUACCUUCAAGCUCUGCUUGGUGUUGGGUGUUUGUCUCGCCUCUGCGUGUAGACUCGCCUCAAAACAAUUGGCAGCCGGCGUAUUGAUUUCGGAGCGCAGUACAUCUCGCGCUUUGCACUCAUAACGACGACGUCCAAAAGUACAUUUUUACACUCUU
rnacentral:rRNA from 1 species